AAGCCUUUGUUUUUUCCCUCCAUCCCCGCUUCAAUCGACCACAUCACGGUGCAUGUCAAUGUUACGACGUAUGGUGCAUAGUUUUCUUCUUUUCCUAGUCCUAUUAUGUAGCUCCUUCAUGGUCCUCCUACACGUACGUAUAUAAUUUGAUUAUAUAUAUAUACAAAGGGAAAUGAAAUAAAACUCACACGUACAUAGAAAGAUUUAUUGCUAAACUAUUCUUGACUACAACUAUUAUAAUUAUUAAAAAAUUAAGCAAAAACAAAGAAAAUAUAUUGACAAAAUAUAAGCAAAAUAUAAGUUAAUUAUAUAUAUAUAUAUAUAUAUAUUAGAUAAAAACAACAUAUUAAAUCUAUUUAUUUUAUAUAAAUAAUUGGAUGUUCAUAACUUAACUAAUUUGUAAAAAAAAAAAGAUUUCCAAAACUUUCAUAAAUGAAAAAAGUUUUAUAGCAAACUCUUUUAUAAAUGAAAAAGCUUAAUCAUAUAUCAUUUUACAAAGGGUUUUGAGUUCAGCACACCAGUGUUAGAAACAAACUAGGGCCUUCUGUUCAGCACAUCCGUGUUAGCAAAAACUUAUUGUCAAUUUGUUUUUCUUCAUAUUUUUUAAAAGCUUAAUCAUAUAUCUUACUUAAUCAUAUAUCUUCCUUAAACUCAAUCAUGUUGAUGAAAUUGGUUGAAAAUUUUCAGUCAUA
rnacentral:lncRNA from 1 species